UACGUAGGGCGCAAGCGUUGUCCGGAAUUAUUGGGCGUAAAGAGCUCGUAGGCGGUUUGUCGCGUCUGCUGUGAAACGCCCGGGGCUCAACCCCGGGUCGUGCAGUGGGUACGGGCGAGACUAGAGUGCAGUAGGGAGACUGAAUUCCUGGUGUAGCGGUGAAAUGCGCAGAUAUCAGGAGGAACACCGAUGGCGAAGGCAGGUCUCUGGGCUGUUACUGACGCUGAGGAGCGAAAGCAUGGGGAGCGAACAGGAUUAGAAACCCUGGUAGU
rnacentral:rRNA from 1 species